UGGGGAAUCUUGCGCAAUGGGGGAAACCCUGACGCAGCGACGCCGCGUGCGGGAUGAAGGCCUUCGGGUUGUAAACCGCUUUCAGCAGGGACGAGGCCUUAUGGUGACGGUACCUGCAGAAGAAGCUCCGGCUAAAUACGUGCCAGCAGCCGCGGUAAUACGUAUGGAGCAAGCGUUAUCCGGAAUUAUUGGGUUUAAAGGGUGCGCAGGUGGCUAAUCAGGUCAGUGGUGAAAAGCUAUGGCUCAACCAUGGUCUUGCCAUUGAAACCGUAUAGCUAGAGAGGAGACGAGGUAGGCGGAAUGUGUGGUGUAGCGGUGAAAUGCAUAGAUAUCACACAGAACUCCGAUUGCGAAGGCAGCUUACCAGGCUUUAUCUGACACUUAGGCACGACAGCGUGGGGAUCAAACAGG
rnacentral:rRNA from 1 species